ACUCCUACGGGAGGCAGCAGUGGGGAAUAUUGCACAAUGGGGAAACCCUGAUGCAGCAACGCCGCGUGAGUGAUGACGGUUUUCGGAUUGUAAAGCUCUGUCUUCAGGGACGAUAAUGACGGUACCUGAGGAGGAAGCCACGGCUAACUACGUGCCAGCAGCCGCGGUAAUACGUAGGUGGCGAGCGUUGUCCGGAUUUACUGGGCGUAAAGGGGAGCGUAGGCGGAUCUUUAAGUGGGAUGUGAAAUACUCGGGCUCAACCUGGGGGCUGCAUUCCAAACUGGAGAUCUAGAGUGCAGGAGAGGAAAGGGGAAUUCCUAGUGUAGCGGUGAAAUGCGUAGAGAUUAGGAAGAACACCAGUGGCGAAGGCGACUUUCUGGACUGUAACUGACGCUGAGGCUCGAAAGCGUGGGGAGCAAACAGGAUUAGAUACCCUGGUAGCGACUGA
rnacentral:rRNA from 1 species